GAGACAAAGAGAGAGAAAGGAAUGCUCUGACCCGAUUAAGCCACCAUUCUUCUUCUGCACCUUCGUCUCUGUCUUUUUCGCCUGUGACUGUUGCCGGCACGUUCGUGCUCAUGGUCAGUCAUUGAAUGACAAAUUCAUGAGGAACCAUGUUCGAAGAUGGAUCAGCUGAGAAAGAGAGAGCUUGGAUCUUCCCAUCUUUGUUCUCCUCUGCUUUCUUCCUCCUUUUGCUGUCAUCGCCGGUGACAUGGGUGCUGCUGCUCCGUCCGCCUCUGAUCAAUUAGCUUGUGGCUUUUGUUUUUCCUUCCUCUAUUCUAGAUCGGCAUGCCAUUGUUUUCUUCUUUCUCGGUUCAUUCGCCAUGAGUCAAUUAAGGUGGAAGCCUUGACCUUUUCUACUAUUCUCUAAAUAAUUUGUGCUGUGGGAGUUGAUUUGUGGCUAUGGGAGUUUCAUUUUAUUGACUGUCAUUUUCCCCUGCAA